rnacentral:rRNA from 1 species
UUUGGGCGUUGAUUGUCCCAGUCCCGCAAGGGGACGUGGAGGCCUCGGCCAAAGCGGAUUCUUUAAAUCAUGCAUCGAGAAAAACCCAUAUGAAUACUAUGCGCCCGUACCGGAAACCGACACAGGUGGGUGGGCAUAAAUGUGCCAAGGCGCGUGAGUGAAACCUCGUUAAGGAACUCUGCAAUCUAGCCCCGUAACUUCGGAAGAAGGGGUGCCCACUUUUAGUGGGUCGCAGUGAAAUGGGUGUACCGACUGUUUAUCAAAAACACAGCACUCUGCUAAGUCGUAAGACAACGUAUAGGGUGUGACACGUGACCAAUGCGGAAAGAUUACGGUAAGUGGUUAGGCGCAAGCCGAAGCUACGAGCCCAAGUCCCCGUGAAUGUCGGCCGUAACAAUAACGGUCCUAAGGUAGCGAAAUUCCUUGUCGGGUAAGUUCCGACCUGCACGAAUCGUGUAACGAGUGCACCGCUGUCUCAACGAGGAGCUCAGCGAAGUUGUAAUGGCGGUGAAGAUGCCGCCUACCCGCAGCAGGACGGAAAGACCCUAUGCACCUUUACUGUACGCUGUUACUGUGUUUUCGAUUUUCAUGCUUAGCGUAAGUGGGAGACUUUGAAUCGCUUCUUUCGGGGAGCGACGAGUCGUCAAUGAAACACCACCCUUGGAAAUUGGAAACUCUAACCCUCACCCAUGAUCUGGGGAGGGGACACUGGCAGCCGGUCAGUUUUACUGGGGCGGUAUCCUCCUAAAGAGUAACGGAGGAGUACGAAGGUUGGCUCAACCUGGUUGGUAAUCAGGUGACGAGUACAUGGAUAUAAGCCAGCCUAACUGUGAGACCUACAAGUCGAGCAGAUGCGAAAGCAGGUCCAAGUGAUCCGGUGGUUGAAAGUGGAAUCGCCAUCGCUCAACGGACAAAAGGUACGCUAGGGAUAACAGGCUGAUCGAGUCCAAGAGCUCAUAUCGACGACUCGGUUUGGCACCUCGAUGUCGGCUCAUCACAUCCUGGGGCUGGAGAAGGUCCCAAGGGUCCGGCUGUUCGCCGGUUAAAGUGGUACGCGAGCUGGGUUCAGAACGUCGCGAGACAGUUCGGUCCUUAUCCGCUGUGGGCGCAGGAAAGUUGAGGGGUUUAAACCUUAGUACGAGAGGACCGGGUUUAACGAACCUCUGGUGUUCCAGUUGUCGUGUCAACGGCAGUGCUGGGCAGCUACGUUCGGAAGAGAUAAGCGCUGAAAGCAUCUAAGCGCCAAGCUCCUCCCAAGAUUGACUUUCCCUGAAGAGUCGUGGUAGACCACCACGUUGAUAGGCCAUAGGUAUAAGCGCAGUAAUGUGUUGAGCUUAGUGGUACUAAUAACUCGUUCGGCUUGAUCUA